GUGCUCACUCCAGCACCAUAUAUACUAAACUUGGGAGGAUAUGGAGAAGAUUGCCAUGGCCUCUGGGCAAGGAUGACAGACAAAUUCUUGAAAGAUUCUAUUUUUGA